rnacentral:rRNA from 1 species
UACGAAGGGGGCUAGCGUUGCUCGGAUUCAUUGGGCGUAAAGGGUGCGUAGGUGGCGCCGUAAGUCAGGUGUGAAAUUUCGGAGCUUAACUCCGAAACUGCAUUUGAUACUGCGGUGCUUGAGGACUGGAGAGGAGACUGGAAUUUACGGUGUAGCAGUGAAAUGCGUAGAGAUCGUAAGGAAGACCAGUGGCGAAGGCGGGUCUCUGGACAGUUCCUGACACUGAGGCACGAAGGCCAGGGGAGCAAACGGG